UUCAGUUCUGUGCGUUACGGAGUAUAGCACAGAACGUAUGUCUAAACAUAACGCACCGCACAAAACAGGUAUAUGUGCGGUUCGUUCAUGCGUGUGGUUGUCACGUGAGUGAUGGUCACUCAGGUGGACAUAGGCGGGAAUUUGCACGGGGUGUUCAUUGUUUGGUCAGUUCUACGCUAGACUUCGAUCAGUAAACUUGUGUUCGUGUACAAAUCCUACAUCGUGUUGUCGACUUUAGCAAAACACAGGGUGUCCAUGCUGCAAGAUUUGGAACGCAUCAUAGAAAAGAUAAGUGCUAAAAAGAAACGUAAAUCUUUUAAAUCCGUUAUACUGAAUCUCGAGCAUAGUAUCCAGUGUUACGAAGUAGUAACAGGGUUGAAACGAUGUAUAUUUCAAGUAACAAUUUCAGCACUAGAGAAAGCCGAUCAAUUUACAAAUAGAAAUAUUGAUGGCACGUGACCGAAAAUUCACAGGUCAUUAAUGGUAUAACACGACAAAAGCUUUCGAACUUACUGGGGAAUAAAUUGCUAUUCUGUGUGGUGUUUUAUACAUUCUAUAUGUAUACGUGUAAAUGUUUUACGAGUCUGAUGACGUAAUGUUAUUUGCAGAAAAAUACAAGGUAGAGGCGAUGGCAUAUAAAAAGGCGCAUACAUAACGCCACGCGGCGUUCUUGACGGGUCAUAUCAGAAGCCGGAAGCUUCAUCUAACAUCGCAACACAAGGGGCUGAAACUCAAUUACCAUUGAGACGCACAGGACUAUGUUUCGCAUGUGGUGAACCGGGUCAUCGAAAAGGAGCAGCUGAAUGUUCAGCAAACAGCUCGACCAAUAAGAAAUGUUUUGAGAGGUACUCUGAAGGAGCGAUUAGAGGGCUCGGGCUUAGAACAAUCAAGAGCAGACAAUACGGUGAAGAAAAGAAUUCUUCAUGUGCACAUUUCAAAUACUGUGAAGAAAAUGUAGUCGCCAUGACAGCCUUACAUAUAUCAGUAGUAAUGUAAAUGGCUCAAUUGAUGGAUCGAGGAAAUCUAAUAACGUUUUUUACAUCUAUGUUUUACAGUAUUAAAUAGAUCCAUUCUAUUAAUAGUGUACAUGAUCCAAAGAAAGAUUUAACAAACUAUUAUAAGAAGCUUCAAGCGUGUGUGUUUCAAACCAUCUCACAAGAAAGAUGUAUCAUGUACAUGUGCAUUCAUUAGAGAUGAUACAAACAAUGUGUUUGAUAUAAGGAGAUUCCACUGUUUUCAUUGAUUGAUCAUUUUUGGUUUAUGCAUGUACAUGUAUCAUGCAUAUUAACAAAUUAAGUGAGUUUCAUUGUAAUGACCUACAAUUGAAAUCUGAUCACUUUGUUAUUAAUGUACGCCAUUAUAAUACUGGCAUGUAUACGAAUGGUUCGGAUAUUAUAAUUACAAAAUGUACAACUACAACUUCCCAUAUGGCGUUUUAUUAACAAAUAUAGAAUUAGCAAAUUGGUCAGAUGAAUCAAAUGAUUUUUUGUUCAAAUCAGUUAUUGGUAAUAUAUAUGUAAGUUAUAUAUAUGUAAUUAUUUAGACCAGCUAACGCCGAGGGCGUGUUUGAGAGAUGUGUGAAGCGACAUGGUCGAUGGAAGUCUGAUAGGGCUAAAGAUGGGUACAUUGAUGAUUCUCUAGACAAAAACCUUUUUAUCACUAGACAAUUGAAAUUAUAAUUGAUUUGCGGUUCGAAUUUAAAACUUUACUAACCUUUGAUUUUGUUCUAUCGCAAGCCUUGCCCAAUGCAAAACGUGUUGUGUUUUGUGCUUAGUUGUGUGAAGACUUUUCAGUUCUGUGCGUUACGGAGUAUAGCACAGAACGUAUGUCUAAACAUAACGCACCGCACAAAACAGGUAUAUGUGCGGUUCGUUCAUGCGUGUGGUUGUCACGUGAGAGAUGGUCACUCAGGUGGACAUAGGCGGGAAUUUGCAAGGGGUGUUCAUUGUUUGGUCAGUUCUACGCUAGACUUCGAUCAGUAAACUUUUACUUUUUAAAUUUGAACCGCAUUAGUAGUAAAUUGGCUCAAAUGACAUGUUAUGUUUGUGUUACAUAAUGUUAAGUUACAUGUAAAUAUUGGCUGUUUUCAGGUACAGUUUUCCAGAGUUAUUUUACAUUGGGCUUCUGAUGAAUUUGUAUCUCUGGUUUUUUACCCUGGCCUUGAAAACACCAAUUAAGGACACAAUACUAGAAGUGAUGUAUACACAUUAUAGUUAUAAUUUGUUAUAUAAUUUAUAGAUCGAAAAUUGUCCUGUCAAGGUUGUACUACGAUUGUACUUGAUUGCUAUAUGAUACGAAUAUGUAAUAUUCGUGGAUGUGUGUUGUCAAUAAACUGAUCGCAAGCCUUGCCCAAUGCAAAA